GACUGGGGCAGCCCAGAACACUGGGGAGACUAGAUCGAUAGGGCUGCACAGAGGUGGCACAGUUGUGCCAGAGGGCCAGACUUUGGCAGCGUGUAAGGUCUGAGGACAGGGGCACCGGAGGCCGAGGAUGAGAGGCCAGUGCCUGUUUCCAGGCAGCCAGGGCCUCAGAAACUCCGGCCGGAGCACUCACCCGUCGGUGGAGGCCGUUACCAGGGCCACCUUAUUUGCGAGCGGGUCCCGGCGGGUCAUCCCGGAGCUGGCCAUCCGCACCGAAUUCCAAGCCCGGGCACAGAGGCCUAGCAGCCCCGCCUUGUGCAUGGAUCAGACCAGCAAGUGCCACUUCGGAUAAACCCUUUGGACUCCUAACUCCAAUCAGGUGUCUGCUUUGUUGAGGACUCACAGACACAGUCUCCUUUCUUCAAGAUCUUUACAAUGCAAGACCUCACUAACACACAGGGAUGGUCUCCCAGAGGGUCUGUGCUGUUCCUUCACUCAGAACAUCAAGAUGCACUGAAGUAAGGAUCCUCUAUUCUACAGUUCCUGCUAGCUGAGCUAUUCCAUGGGGGCUUCAGCAGGAAAUUCCAAGGUUGGCUUUGACAAGCUAAGGCCGGCUGGUGGAGCACAUCGAGUUCUGGAGGUUCAUGUGUGUUUUCAUGAAGAUCUGUCUGCCCGUAGCAGAUAAAGAGUUGUUGCCCCACUCCUCCUGGGGUCUUCUAUUUUCCUGGGAGGAAUUUCUGGAUUAACUGAACACACACACACACACACACACCCUUUUGAAGCAUCAACAGUAAUUCUGAGUUCUUAGGGACAAUGCAGAUUAAAUCCACAAUAAGAAAGACAACUAUGGCCAGGUGUGGUGGCUCACGCCUGUAAUCCCAGAACUUUGGGAGGCUGAGGCGGAUGGAUCACCUGAGGUCAGGAGUUAGAGACCAACCUGACCAACAUGGAGAAACCCCGUUUCUACUAAAAAUGCAAAAUUAGCCGGGCAUGGUGGCAGGCGCCUGUAAUCCCAAAUACUCGGGAGGCUGAGGCAGGAGAAUCACUUAAACCCGGGAGGCAGAGGUUGCAGUGAGCCAAGAUCGCGCCAUUGCACUCCAGCCUGGGCAAGAAGAGCAAAACUCCAUCUCAAAAAAAAAAAAAGAGUACUAUUGAUCCAGAGGUGACCAGACUAGCCUCACUGGAGAUAAUAGGUGACAUUAUUAUGCAAAGUGGUUUCAGUUCCCUUGUCUUGUUUUUGGAAUAGUAUAAGAGGCCUACAAUACGAAUAAAUAAGGCCCAUCACAAGCCUCACCAAAGGACAAAACUAAUCCACUUCUGAAGAAGGCUCUUUGUUGGGCCAGAUCAAAUCCUUGGACAGAACUGUACUCUUAAUCUCUGUAGUGAAAGUGGGGGGUAGUUUAAGAAUUUAUUAACCUUCUACCUUGAGCAAUCCCUCAGAAGUAAGAGGUGUCAGGCCUCUGAGCCGAAGCUCAGCCAUUGUAACCCCUGUGACCUGCACAUAUAUGUCCAGAUGGCCUGCAGGAGCCAAGAAGUCUGGGGCAGCUGAAAAACCACACAAGAAGUAAAACAGCCAGUUCCUGCCUUAACUGAUUAACCAACAUUACAACAUUCCACCAUUGUGACCUGUCCCUGUCCUACCUUAACUGAUCAAUCGACCUUGUGACAGUCUUCUUCUGGACAAUGGGUCUUAUCAUCUCCCCACCAUGUACCUUGUGACCCCCUCCUCUGCUAACAAUAGAUAACCACUUUUUACUGUAAUUUUCCAUUACCUACCCAACUCCUAUAAAGCAACCCCUUCCCCAUCUCCCUUCACUGACUCUGUUUUCAGACUCAGCCCACUUGCACUCAAGUGAAUAAACAGCCUUGUUGCUCACACAAAGCCUGUUGGUGGUCUCUUCACACAGAUGUGCUUGACAAAAGGGAAGGGUGGAUUUGUCCUUCUGGUUACAUAUGUUCUGCUCACUCAUUUUGAAUUUAAUUAAACAAGGAUUGCCCUUACCUUUUCAUACUUUGUAAGAAACCAUAAAUACUUAUGCACCAUGAUUUUUUUAAAGAAACACUUUUUAUUUUGAAGUAAUUAUAGUCUCAUAGGAAGUUGCAAAAGUAGUACAUAGAGUCCCUGAGUACUCUUCCCCCAGUGGUGACAACUGUAGUAUAAUAUCAAUUCUGGGAAAUUGACAUUGGUACAAUACCAAAUAUACUAUGCCUUUUUCUCUAAGGCAUGAUGUUGCAGUAGCAUCCUUGUACAUGUAGCUAGGAGAACUUGUACUAAGCCCAGAUAAAUAGUUGAAGUACAAGGGCAAGGAGUGUGUCUUUGAUAUUUUAAUAGAAAUCACCUAUUGCCCUCUAGAAAAGCUGUACCCUUUUCCAGUGGCAGAGAACCUUCCUGAAAGGCAGUCCUGUGUAAUGGUGUCCAUUUCAUCACACCCUUAAAACACUCAGCUUUAACAAACAUGCAGAUUUUUGCUGAUGUGGGAGAAAAUAUUAAUUAUUAAUGAUAUUAAGGUGAUUAUCUUUUCGUAUGUUUAUAGAUAUUUGUAUUUCUUUUUAAAUGAACUGCUCAUGACCUUUGUCUACUUUUAUUUGGGUUUACUUCUUUCUCAUUUAUUCCUAUAAACUCUUUAUAAAAGGAAAUUAACCAUUUGAUUGUCAUAUGUUGUGAAUAUUUUUACCAUUUUGACUUUUGAAUUUAUGUCUUUUUAAUGAAUUGUAGAAGUUUAAAAUCUUUAUGGAAUAAAUUUAUUUAGUUUUUUGUUUAUGG
rnacentral:lncRNA from 1 species